GAUGAAGAACGCAGUGAAAUGCGAUACUUGGUGUGAAUUGCAGAAUCCCGUGAACCAUCGAGUCUUUGAACGCAAGUUGCGCCCGAAGCCAUUAGGCCGAGGGCACGCCUGCCUGGGCGUCACACGUCGUUGCCCCCCAUCUACUCCUUCGGGAUUGCGGGGGGCGGAUGAUGGCCUCCCGUGCGCCUCGUCGCGCGGUUGGCAUAAAUGCCAAGUCCUCGGCGACGCACGCCACGACAAUCGGUGGUUGCGAAACCUCGGUUGCCCGUCGUGUGCGGUCGUCGCGCAUCGAGGGCUCGAAAAAAUUGUCGGGCUCCGGCUCGGCUUUCAACGCGACCCCAGGUCAGGCGGGGUUACCCGCUGAAUUUAAGCAUAUCAAUAAGCGGAGGA
rnacentral:misc_RNA from 1 species